UCUGCAAGGUGGAUGAACGCGUGAGGCCACUCCCUUGCCAAGGAGCUGCUCUGCCAGGUCCCUCUCCUCACUGAGGCAGCUUGGCAGGACCCAGCACCUCUGCCACUUCCCAGGUGACUUUGGGCACCACACUGUGUCUGAGCCCCAGGUCCUCUUCCCCAGCGAAACAGAAGGACAAGGGGUCUCCAUACCAUAUCCCACAUCAGCAGUUCCCACCUCCCAGGAUCCCUAUGGUGCUGGGAUGGGAAAGGGAGCCACCAAGUCUCACCAGGAGGCCACAGUGGAAGUCCAGAGAGUAGGGCCCCGCCUGGGGUCUCCAGCAAGCCAAAGGAGAGAACCCAGAGGCGGCCUGAGUUCCCACUUGGAGUCUUGGGGUUGCUCUUAAAUGAAGUUAUCUGGGAAGUCCAGGGAGAGAGAAAUUUCCCAAGGGAAGGCCUAGUACCUCAGGGGGUCCCUGUCCCUGCCAGGUCCCCAGACCCAGCUCAGGCCCUCUGUUCUGUGCUUGCACCGGCUGGGCACUCCAUGCAGCCCGGGAAUGACUUUAGAGUGGCCUGGCCACAUGUGGGGACUGGCUACACAGUGCCUCAGUGUUUACCCAGGACUCAGCCCCGCCACCCUCAGGGCUGCAACUCUCAGGCCUCCUCCUGAGCAAACGGAAGGGAGCAGAGGCUCCGCUGGGCCAGGCCCAGGCCCUCCCUGCCCAGCCCAGCCCCCUGUGGGCUGUGGGGAACAGUGGCCCAGGAGGAUGUGGCAGGGGGCAGCAGCUGGGCAGCUGAGGCCAGGGCAGCCUGGGAAGUCCGUGCUGGAGCUGUUGUUUGUACCGCGGGCCCUGGGCCACCCCACCCACUCAGGCGGCUUGGCCUCCAGGCCCCUCUCCAGGGGCUGUGUUUCCCAUAACUCUGCUCCCCGGUCAUGAACCUCGGGGCAGGAAGGCCCUCAGAGACCAGCUCCCACUCCACAGUGGACAGAAGAAGCCCAGGCCCAGGGAGCGAACAGGCCUAAGGCCAGCUGUUAGCCUCCCAUGGCUCCCCCGCCUGCAGGAGAAAGACCCUGCUCUUCCCAGGGUGCUCUGAGUGUUCCCGAGCCAUCUGUGGUUGCCUGGAUAUUCGCCUUGAGCCUGUCUGCCUAGCAGGGACUGUGGGAAGCAGCCCGCCAGGGCAGGACAGGUCUACUGGCUUCCCCCACCACGCACACCCCAGCCCCCAUCACCAGAAGUCCCCUGGCUGUAGACUCAGGAGACCAAGCUGAGGACAUUUCUUCUACCCUGUCUCUUCCCUGCCCUCUACGCCAAGCUCUGAGUCUCCACUGGACAAUCAGCUCCCUGGCCAGGUUGAAUCAGUGCCACCGACUUCUGGGAGUGGAGUCAGUUUUCGGCGGACACAACAUCUUUGUUUGUUUGUGGUGCUGAGGAUCGAACCCGGGCCGCACGCAUGCCAGGCGAGCACACUACCGUUUGAGCCACAUCCUCAGCCCAAGCACAGUGACAAAGCAAAGGCUCAAGGACAUUCAGGAAGAGGCGGAUCCUGGCUUUGAACCUAAGACCAGCCCCUGGCACCAAGACCCCCAGCAUGAAUCCCCACCCAGCUAUGGGGGUGGCGGUAGGGGGGUGCCCCACUGUACUUGACUCUCUGUCUCCCACUGCCCUCAGCAUUUUGCUUUGUGCAUGCCUGAGGGUCCCGUGCCAAUCAGGUGAUGUAAACCCUGUCGUCCUUCCAGUGCCGAGGGCGGAGCCCAGAGCCUCACGUGUGCCAGGCCUGCGCUCUACCACUGAGCCCACCGGACCUUCCCGGGGCUUCAGAGGGUUGGGAUCAGGGGGGUGAGAAAGAGUGGAAAGAGUGGGCUGUGAGCUCACACCUGGAUUUGGACUUCAGCUUCAUCUCUGUCAUAUCUGUCCGUGUGUCUCUGUCUCUCUCUCUCUGUCAUUGAUAGUCGGGCACCGGACCCCUGAGCCACCUCGCCAGCCCUACUUUGAUUGGUAUUUAGAGACAGGUCUCUCUGAUGCUUGGCAGCUCGCCAUUGCUGAGGCUGGCUGGGAACUCAGGUCACCACACUGGCUCAGCUUCAUCUCUUAAGGGUCAAGUGUGACCAUGACCUUGACAUCCUCAUGGGUUUUAUUUCACACUGAAUCCCCCUCAUCCAGGAGGGAAAAUAAAGCAGCCAGGCCACAGGCCUUGGAAGAACACAAAGCGUGGCCCCGAGGGCUUCUCACCCGAGUUCCAGGAACCAGGAACCGUGGGCAGCUGGGCUCUGGCAUGGAGGUCGCAGGGUCUUUCUGAGUUGCUUAGGGCCUCAGUAAGUCGCUGAGGCUGGCCUUGAACUUCAGAUCCUCCUGCCUCAGCCUCUAGAACUGCUGGCAUUACCGGAUGCGCCACAGUGCCGGGCUCCCCGUAGUUUUAAAUUACCAGGUGUGUGGCCAUUUGGUAGCAACCAAGAAUCAGCAAAUGUUGGUUCCCACUCCUCCCUGCACCCAGCACCCUCCCCAUCCAAUUGUGCAAGUCCUUUAUUUUUAAUGUUUGUUGCUGCAGAUGGAACCCAGGGCUUUGGGCUGCUAAAUACAUGCUGUGGCACUGA